GGAUGUUCUCAGGGCGGGGCGAAAUUCCCCACCGGCGGUGAUGGCCUUGGCCAAAGCCCGCGAGCGCCCCGGCCCAUGCCGGGGGUCAGCAGACCCGGUGCAAUUCCGGGGCCGACGGUCAUAGUCCGGAUGAGAGAGAACGUGA
rnacentral:ncRNA from 1 species